AACCAUAGAAACCUGCGGAGUACCUGCGGAGGGAUCAUUACCGAGUUUACAACUCCCAAACCCCUGUGAACAUACCAAUUGUUGCCUCGGCGGAUCAGCCCGCUCCCGGUAAAACGGGACGGCCCGCCAGAGGGCCCCUAAACUCUGUUUCUAUAUGUAACUUCUGAGUAAAACCAUAAAUAAAUCAAAACUUUUAACAACGGAUCU
rnacentral:misc_RNA from 1 species